UGUUGGGGCUGAUCACAAUGGCUCUGAUGGACCCGCCCCUGGAAUUCAUCCUCUGUCUGGGCCCCGCCCACUCUGGCCACGUGACUCACUUCAACCAAUACAGCAGCGCACAAGGGAUGCUGCGCCAAUUCUGGGGCUAAGCCUUCCUUAAAGGUGUUUUUGCACUUUGGGGAACCCUGAGCUGCCAUGUUAAAAGUCCAGCUACCUGGAGAGAUGCCAUGAAGAGGUCACGUUGAGCGGGAGAAGCCCUGAGGCUACACAGGGAGAGAAGGAGAGACAGACGGACAGAGAGAGAAGAGAGGCAGGGAGCCCCCGCGGAGCCCUCUCCAUCACUCCAGUUGUCCCAGCCUUGGGACAGGGGUUGCUGACCCAGAGCCUCCGUUCUGAAUGACCUGAAGCUCACGAUACACAAAUUCCCACUCGACGAGCGUCUUUUCUGCAGAGAGAGGGUACUGAAGGUCAGCGGCUGCAGUAGCACGUGACUCAUCCUUAUAGAGGGAGAUGUGUGCUCAGCCGCUCAGUCAUGUCCGACUCUGGACCCCACAGACUGCAGCCCGCCAGGCUCCUCUGUCUCCAGGAUUUUUCAGAGUUUGGAUCCAGUCAUUCUGACAAAAUCCUUUUGUCAUCGCACAAAGCCUGGGAUUAAAGACUCCAUCCGCGGAUUAUUUUCUACAUAUGGCUGCACUGGAUUAUGGUGCCAGAGAGGGAGAAACAACAGCCCCACGCUUGUCUGCAAAGUGCGGGCAGCCCUCCCCAUGGCUCCUCUGCUCGUCCUGCCCUGGCCGUGGCCAUGCCUGCCUGCCCUUGAGGAAGGAGGACCAAGGCACUAAGGUGUUCUCAGUGGGGCUGAGUGCCUCUGUCAGCUCAGGGCAACACAAGACCCUCAAACUCGGGGGCUCAAAUCAGCUGCUCCUUUGUCCUACGGCUCAGCUGGGUGGUUCUCCAGUCUUGGGGUCUUCUCACUCGUUGGUGGGAAGCCCCGGGAGUACGCAGCUUUGCUGGCUCUGUCUGUCUCUCCCCCAACUCUUGGGCCUAGACUGGACUGACUGGGCUGACUCCCUGACUCUCCACGUGCUUAGCCCAGGCAGGCUGGCCUGGACUUCGUCCUGGGAGUGGCAGGGUGCCACCACCCCCUCCCUGUCUGGUUCUUUGCAAAGCAGCUAUGAAGAAUUUUAGAGGCAGGUACCACAGGGGCCUGUGAGUCAAUUCUUAGAAUAGGACGUGAUCAUCUCUUCUGGGAAGAAGGGUUUGCAGCCACUGCUGAUUCCUGACUGAGUCAUGGGUGCCUUUAUCAGGAGGCGGGAGAGCACGGCUUAGGUGCCUGUGAGCUGGGUGUGUGCGUCUGCUUCUUAACCUUCACCAUUCACAGCCCUGUGCUCACUGCACCCUCUGGAUGAGCCAGUGGGCUGGGAAGGAAGCUUGGAGCCAACGUGACUAACAAUUUCUAAAUUCUCUAGGUGGCAAUUAUAGGGAAUAAAGAGAAAGGCAUAAUUUCAAAACUUUCUAACAGCGUUGCUCUGGGUAUCUCUGGUUAUCUUCUUAACUCAUUUUAAGAGCUCUAACUAUGUGCCAGGCAAGGCUGGGAUCUUUAGAAACAUGAUUUUAUUUACUUUUACACAGCCUUGUGAGAUGGACAUGAUUAUGCACUCUGGGGCGCAGAGAGGUCAUGUGAUUUGCCUAAAAUCACACAGUUGGAAUGAGUUAAGCCCAGAUGGGAGCUCACGCCCAACUCCAAAGCCAAGUCCUUCCACCUCCAUACGAUUCUGUAACAAUGCACUUUGUCUCCCGCCCGGAGCUGGGAAGAAUCCGUCUAUUUUCUGAGAAUGAGCAUGUCAGUGAGUUCGUUCACAGGACUGGGUGCCCGCCAUGGGAACUGUCUGGCUUUAGGCACUGGAGAGCAGGCUCUCAGGACAGGCUAUGCCCUCCAGAAG
ensembl:lncRNA